AUUGAACGCUGGCGGCAGGCCUAACACAUGCAAGUCGAACGGAGUGGCGGACGGGUGAGUAAUGUCUGGGAAACUGCCUGAUGGUGGGGGAUAACGUCCGGAAACGGGCGCUAAUACCGCAUAAUAUCAGAUGAGUCUAGGUCGGAUUAGCUAGUUGGUGGGGUAAAGGCCUACCAAGGCGACGAUCCGUAACUGGUCUGAGAGGAUGAUCAGUCACACUGGAACUGAGACACGGUCCAGACGCCUACGGGAGGCAGCGGUGGGGAAUAUUGGACAAUGGGCGAAAGCCUGAUCCAGCCAAGCCGCGUGUGGGAAGGAGAUCUUCGGAUUGUAAAGCACUUUCAGCGGGGAGGCGGUACCCGCAGAAGAAGCACCGGCUAACUCCGUGCCAGCAGCCGCGGUAAUAC
rnacentral:rRNA from 1 species